AAUAAAUACAGUUUUACACUAUUCAUAAUCAAUGUUUGAUCGUUCGUCUUAUUUGAAAUUUUUUAUGAUUAUAAUUUCUAUUUCUAUUAGAUGAUAAAAUAUAAAUAAUAUUUUAUGUGUGACUAAAUAUUUUCAAAUUUUUCAUAAAUUUUUCAAAUAAGACAUACGGUAUGUUAAACAUGGAUAUUCACGGCUGCAUUUAUU
rfam:Oryza glaberrima chromosome 2 Oglab02_0371_2, whole genome shotgun sequence.